GAACGCCGUACAACUACCUUGCUAUCACCGAAAAUACUCAGAAGCUGCUGAAAGCUCUCGCUCUGAUGCUCUGGCGUCUGGAUCUACAGAUUAGGUGGAGUAACAUGAGUAUGACAACUCUAACCAAAGUAAAUAAGUUCUGAGUGUAGUGACGAGCAUUUAAAUCAUAUACAUAACAUAAAAUCUCAACGGAAAUAUAAAAGUGAAAUUCAUAGUUAAAUUUCCAAACAGCUCGUAAAAACUUCAGUUUCAAUGAAAGUUAUUUAAUACAUUUGUUCAUCACAUCUUCAAUAGAGGCCCAGUAUAAAAGACGAGUGAAACCGUAAUUUUAUAAACAAUUCCCUCGGGAAAAGCAUCACUCAUAUAUAUAUAUAUAGCCCCUGGAGCAGCCUCUCAGUCACUUGUGACUCAGCUCUCGUCAACCAGCACUCUCACUCAACACUCCCUCAAGAGAUAUAUCAUAAUUAAUAACCGUUACAGUGUGCAGCUUGAUCCAUAAAUAUAUAGUUGACUAGGCUCACUAGGGGUGUACAGACACCGGAGGGGCUCCUACAGCCCAAGCAAUAUAUCAUUGCGGCAUAUAGCCCCGAUCCAACAUAUUGUUGUGGUGUAUAGCCCGAUCCUUAUAAAUAUCAUAUCCCGAUCCAUAUAUAUAUAUAUAUAUAUAUAUAUAUAUAUAUAUAAUCAUCACCAUCCAGCCCUUGGCCCCUCUAAAUCACCAAUCUCACAGCCGCUCGGGCAUUUCAGUGAAAAAUCAGGAAAUCUCAGCCUAAAUAACUUUCAAAUAUUUAAAACAGAGUAAUGAAACUAAAUAAAAAAUAAACAAAUAAAAAUCAUGACUGAGUAUAUUUUUAACAUUCUGAGGGAAGUUGUAAAAUACCCCUGAGGGCCCAAACAGAUUGGCGCAAGGCCACAAAUAUGGCAUUUAGCCCAAAUUGACAGAUUCAUUUCUAAAACACAUAGAUAUCACAUAGAGUUUAUCAAAAUAGACAAUUCUAUAGUUGUCACGAGAUGAACCAAGUCACAAUCCCUACGGAUGCACGCCCACACGCCCGUCACCUAGCAUGUGUGUCACCUUAUUUACCAAAACAAUACAAAAAUUUGGGGUUUCAUAUCUUCAUGUCUAGAUUUACAAUCGUUACUUAC
rnacentral:lncRNA from 1 species